rnacentral:lncRNA from 1 species
UCGACACGUGUCGUGCCCCGAUAGUAGAUGCCAGCUAAAUGCCGGACCCACCACCAAGGCAAACUUGACCUAUUUUGACUGUGCUAAUUUCUAUGAAAAUUUUGACAGAGUUUCCCCUGUAACAUGGACAAAACCAACCUGAAAAAUCAUCAAAAUCUCAAAUAGACAUUUAAACCAAAAGUUUUGGAAACCACCACUUCCUCUAAUACCACCACAACUACUACAGAAUAUAACAAAAUUCGACUGAGUGUUUCUACAACAUCAUCCUGUCAACAUGCAGAUAUUACAUCACUUACAAACCCUUCUACGAAUAUGCUUGUCACCCAAAAUUAGACAAUUACUUAAUAAACAUAAGUUCCCCAACUAUUCGUUACAUACUUAUGAA